GAGUAUGGCAGAGGGGGGUAGAAUUCCACGUGUAGCAGUGAAAUGCGUAGAGAUGUGGAGGAAUACCGAUGGCGAAGGCAGCCCCCUGGGCCAACACUGACGCUCAUGCACGAAAGCGUGGGGAGCAAACAGGAUUAGAUACCCUGGUAGUCCACGCCCUAAACGAUGUCAACUAGUUGUCGGGGAUUCAUUGACUUGGUAACGUAGCUAACGCGUGAAGUUGACCGCCUGGGGAGUACGGUCGCAAGAUUAAAACUCAAAGGAAUUGACGGGGACCCGCACAAGCGGUGGAUGAUGUGGAUUAAUUCGAUGCAACGCGAAAAACCUUACCUACCCUUGACA
rnacentral:rRNA from 1 species